CGGGCGACGGUUGUCCCGGUUUAAGCGUGUAGGCUGGUUUUCCAGGCAAAUCCGGAAAAUCAAGGCUGAGGCGUGAUGACGAGGCACUACGGUGCUGAAGCAACAAAUGCCCUGCUUCCAGGAAAAGCCUCUAAGCAUCAGGUAACAUCAAAUCGUACCCCAAACCGACACAGGUGGUCAGGUAGAGAAUACCAAGGCGCUUGAGAGAACUCGGGUGAAGGAACUAGGCAAAAUGGUGCCGUAACUUCGGGAGAAGGCACGCUGAUAUGUAGGUGAAGUCCCUCGCGGAUGGAGCUGAAAUCAGUCGAAGAUACCAGCUGGCUGCAACUGUUUAUUAAAAACACAGCACUGUGCAAACACGAAAGUGGACGUAUACGGUGUGACGCCUGCCCGGUGCCGGAAGGUUAAUUGAUGGGGUCAGCGCAAGCGAAGCUCUUGAUCGAAGCCCCGGUAAACGGCGGCCGUAACUAUAACGGUCCUAAGGUAGCGAAAUUCCUUGUCGGGUAAGUUCCGACCUGCACGAAUGGCGUAAUGAUGGCCAGGCUGUCUCCACCCGAGACUCAGUGAAAUUGAACUCGCUGUGAAGAUGCAGUGUACCCGCGGCAAGACGGAAAGACCCCGUGAACCUUUACUAUAGCUUGACACUGAACAUUGAGCCUUGAUGUGUAGGAUAGGUGGGAGGCUUAGAAGUGUGGACGCCAGUCUGCAUGGAGCCGACCUUGAAAUACCACCCUUUAAUGUUUGAUGUUCUAACGUUGACCCGUAAUCCGGGUUGCGGACAGUGUCUGGUGGGUAGUUUGACUGGGGCGGUCUCCUCCUAAAGAGUAACGGAGGAGCACGAAGGUUGGCUAAUCCUGGUCGGACAUCAGGAGGUUAGUGCAAUGGCAUAAGCCAGCUUGACUGCGAGCGUGACGGCGCGAGCAGGUGCGAAAGCAGGUCAUAGUGAUCCGGUGGUUCUGAAUGGAAGGGCCAUCGCUCAACGGAUAAAAGGUACUCCGGGGAUAACAGGCUGAUACCGCCCAAGAGUUCAUAUCGACGGCGGUGUUUGGCACCUCGAUGUCGGCUCAUCACAUCCUGGGGCUGAAGUAGGUCCCAAGGGUAUGGCUGUUCGCCAUUUAAAGUGGUACGCGAGCUGGGUUUAGAACGUCGUGAGACAGUUCGGUCCCUAUCUGCCGUGGGCGCUGGAGAACUGAGGGGGGCUGCUCCUAGUACGAGAGGACCGGAGUGGACGCAUCACUGGUGUUCGGGUUGUCAUGCCAAUGGCACUGCCCGGUAGCUAAAUGCGGAAGAGAUAAGUGCUGAAAGCAUCUAAGCACGAAACUUGCCCCGAGAUGAGUUCUCCCUGACCCUUUAAGGGUCCUGAAGGAACGUUGAAGACGACGACGUUGAUAGGCCGGGUGUGU
rnacentral:rRNA from 1 species